UCUUCAUCACACACUAAGACACUGUUCACGUGAAAUAUAUCACAGAAGAAAAAGUGAGCCAGAGAGAAAAUGAUUGUAGUGAAAUAUAUUCUUGUUGGACUGCUCUUAAUCAUUGGACAUCCUACCAUGGGUGUCAGUGCAGAGCUCACUGUGAACUCCGGAGUGGGAGAUGAUGUUACUAUCCUAUGUAACAAUGUCAUUCAUUCUAACUGCUCCUCAACUACGUGGCUUUAUGCUCAGAACAUAAGUCAGGAAUUAGUACAAGUGGUUAAUAAUUCACACAGAAAUGAGAAAAUGACAAUUGGGUUUGACUGCUCUCUGCACAUUCAUAAAGUCAGCACUGCAGAUGCUGGGUCCUACACCUGUAGGCAGAUGGUCAAUGGAAAGCAACGUGGAACUGAUGCUGUAGUUUACAUGUCUGUACUCACAGUUGUUGCACCAAAAAAUCUGAUGCCUGGUAGCAACAUGACCCUACAGUGUCUCCUGUACACCUAUGAUGGUCCUGGGCAGUGUAAUAAAC